rnacentral:rRNA from 1 species
AUUAGAGUUUGAUCCUGGCUCAGAACGAACGCUGGCGGCAUGCCUAACACAUGCAAGUCGAACGUGAUCCGGAGCUUGCUCCGGUGAAAGUGGCGCACGGGUGAGUAACGCGUGGGAACCUGCCCAAAGGUAAGGAAUAACCGCGGGAAACUGCGGCUAAUACCUUAUGCUCCCUUCGGGGGAAAGAUUUAUCGCCUUUGGAUGGGCCCGCGUCGGAUUAGCUAGUUGGUGAGGUAACGGCUCACCAAGGCGACGAUCCGUAGCUGGUCUGAGAGGAUGAUCAGCCACACUGGGACUGAGACACGGCCCAGACUCCUACGGGAGGCAGCAGUGGGGAAUUUUCCGCAAUGGGCGAAAGCCUGACGGAGCAAGACCGCGUGAGGGAGGAAGGCUCUUGGGUUGUAAACCUCUUUUCUCAGGGAAGAAGAAAGUGACGGUACCUGAGGAAUCAGCCUCGGCUAACUCCGUGCCAGCAGCCGCGGUAAUACGGAGGAGGCAAGCGUUAUCCGGAAUUAUUGGGCGUAAAGCGUCCGCAGGUGGCUCGCUCAAGUCUGCUGUCAAAGACCGGGGCUUAACUCCGGAAAGGCAGUGGAAACUGACAAGCUAGAGGGCUCUAGGGGUAGAGGGAAUUCCCGGUGUAGCGGUGAAAUGCGUAGAGAUCGGGAAGAACAUCGGUGGCGAAAGCGCUCUACUGGAGAGCAACUGACACUCAGGGACGAAAGCUAGGGGAGCGAAUGGGAUUAGAUACCCCAGUAGUCCUAGCCGUAAACGAUGGAUACUAGGCGUGGCUCGUAUCGACCCGAGCCGUGCCGUAGCUAACGCGUUAAGUAUCCCGCCUGGGGAGUACGCACGCAAGUGUGAAACUCAAAGGAAUUGACGGGGGCCCGCACAAGCGGUGGAGUAUGUGGUUUAAUUCGAUGCAACGCGAAGAACCUUACCAGGGCUUGACAUGUCCGGAACCCUGCUGAAAGGUGGGGGUGCCUUCGGGAGCCGGAACACAGGUGGUGCAUGGCUGUCGUCAGCUCGUGUCGUGAGAUGUUGGGUUAAGUCCCGCAACGAGCGCAACCCUCGUUCUUAGUUGCCAGCAUUAAGUUGGGCACUCUAGGGAGACUGCCGGUGACAAACCGGAGGAAGGUGGGGAUGACGUCAAGUCAGCAUGCCCCUUACGUCCUGGGCUACACACGUACUACAAUGCGACGGACAAAGGGCAGCAAGCGAGCGAUCGCAAGCUAAUCCCAUAAACCGUGGCUCAGUUCAGAUCGCAGGCUGCAACUCGCCUGCGUGAAGGAGGAAUCGCUAGUAAUUGCAGGUCAGCAUACUGCAGUGAAUCCGUUCCCGGGCCUUGUACACACCGCCCGUCACACCAUGGGAGCUGGUUUUGCCCGAAGUCGUUACCCUAACCCGCAAGGGAAGGGGACGCCGAAGGCAGGGCUAGUGACUGGGGUGAAGUCGUAACAAGGUAACC